GCGGCGGACGGGUGAGUAACACGUGGACAAUCUGGCCCCCCGGCCCGGGAUAGCCCAGGGAAACCUGGAUUAAUACCGGAUGAGACGGGACCCGCGAUGGCGGGACCCGGGAAAGGCGCUGCGGCGCCGCCGGGGGAUGAGUCUGCGUCCCAUUAGCUAGACGCGGGGUAACGGCCCACCGUGGCGACGAUGGGUAGCCGGCCUGAGAGGGUGGACGGCCACAUUGGAACUGAGACACGGUCCAGACUCCUACGGGAGGCAGCAGCUAGGAAUCUUCCGCAAUGGGCGAAAGCCUGACGGAGCGAACCGCCGCGUGAACGAAGAAGGCCGUGAGGGUUGUAAAGUUCUUUUCGGGAGGGGGGAACAAACCGUGGCAGGGAAUGGCCGCGGGAUGACGUGAAUCUCGGAAUAAGCCCCGGCUAACUACGUGCCAGCCGCGGC
rnacentral:rRNA from 1 species